rnacentral:rRNA from 1 species
UACGAAGGGGGCUAGCGUUGUUCGGAAUUACUGGGCGUAAAGCGCGCGCAGGCGGCCAUUCAAGUCAGGGGUGAAAGCCCAGAGCUCAACUCUGGAACUGCCUUUGAAACUGUAUGGCUUGAGUAUGAGAGAGGUGAGUGGAAUUCCCAGUGUAGAGGUGAAAUUCGUAGAUAUUGGGAAGAACACCGGUGGCGAAGGCGGCUUUCUGGUCUGUAACUGACGCUGAGGCGCGAAAGCGUGGGGAGCAAACAGG